CUUAAGUACCAAAGGGGGUUCAUUUUCAAUGGUUUUAGACCCAACUCUCAACGGUGAAAAUAUGCGAUUCUGACUAACAUUUUUUAUCGGAUUCGUAUUUGCUCACUUUUUAUCCAUUUGGCAUAAAGAAGAUAUCAUUCAACAGCUAAAAGCACGAUCUUUCCGAAUGUGAAAAAUCUCGUUCAUACGCAGAGUAAUUCAGAUACAAUAGCGCGCUGAAGUUCGAUUACCUUUUUUUU
rnacentral:lncRNA from 1 species